GGGCGGUAAUAUAAACAAGCGAAUAGCCAACUAUUUAUCUUCCGACCAACAAUAACAAUUAUAUCCCUAUCCACCUUGGAUUUACAAAAAGAAAUAUUUAACAAACAAACUAUCUUACUCCUCAGCCUUUCCACCAACUCUUUCCUCAAUCUCAGCAGCAACAUCAACGGUUGUUCUCGGUCCAACAUCAGCACGGGCAUCCUCAG
rnacentral:lncRNA from 1 species